CACCGGCAGCUCUAGUGGUAGCCAUUUUUAUUGGGCCUAAAGCGUUCGUAGCCGGUUUGAUAAGUCUCUGGUGAAAUCCUAUAGCUUAACUGUGGGACUUGCUGGAGAUACUAUUAGACUUGAGGUCGGGAGAGGUUAGCGGUACUCCCAGGGUAGGGGUGAAAUCCUGUAAUCCUGGGAGGACCACCUGUGGCGAAGGCGGCUAACUGGAACGAACCUGACGGUGAGGGACGAAAGCCAGGGGCGCGAA
rnacentral:rRNA from 2 species